rfam:Bacteroides fluxus YIT 12057 genomic scaffold Scfld25, whole genome shotgun sequence.
UCCAUAGUGAUGUGGAAUCUGAAGGAAACUUGCGGCAAAAGUCUGACUAGGCGAACUGAAAUCAGAUAUAAGGCUAAAGUGUGAGGAUGUACCUCGUAGUAGUGAAGAAAUCUCUGUAAUAUAAAGUUGUAAAGCAGAAUAAGAAGAACCGUGUUCUAUUCGAUUUAUAGGUAUAAGG